AGACCAAACAAGAUUCUACCCCCUAGAAACAGGAGUGGAACCUACCUCACCUGAAACAGAUGACUUCUUGGAGAAGAGGGAAUAUUUUAAAAAAUCAGGAUUCUGGAUGGUUUAGAGAAUCACCAGGAAGUCAGGAACAAAGAGUUCCUGGGCAGCUGGCACCACAGUGCAGAUCAUGACAUGGAACACAGAGGAAUGGCUGCUGCCAUCUUUGACCAUGGGAUGCCACAUCUCGAAACACCAACUCUGCUGGUCCCCAGAGCCCAGAUACAGCUACUUGUGCUUCUAUCACCGUGUCCCUGGAAACAGAUGUUGCUGCUAUUACUGGAACUGCCAUAAAAGAUUCUCUGCUGCCUGGCUUUUUUGCUCCCCAAUCUGAGCUUAUGAUAAAUGCCUCACUGUUGCUGCAAGGAGGGGGCCAAUACCCAGGACAGUAAGCACUUGGCCUUUCUUCCAUUUCUACCGUGAAAGAUGGCUCUGCCUCCCACCCAAACUCAGAAAGCGGGGAAUUUCCCAAACAUUGGAAAACCUUCAGAUGUGGAGUGCCCUCCCACUAAAAACAUUCCCAUCACUGUCCACUUGCAUCAUUUAGUCCUAGCAUUUUAAAGAAGGUCCCCUUUAGGAACUGAUUUUGAAUCUUCAUAAAUGAUUUUCCUGCUCCUCUUGAGAUAAUCAUAUGGUUUCUCUUAUUUGACCCAUUGAUAUGUUCUAUAAACAGAUUUACUAAUAUUAAAACAGCUUUGCAUUCUUCGGUAAACCCUA
rnacentral:lncRNA from 1 species